rnacentral:rRNA from 1 species
UACGUAGGGCGCAAGCGUUGUCCGGAAUUAUUGGGCGUAAAGGGCUCGUAGGCGGUUUGUCGCGUCGGGAGUGAAAACCAGAGGCUUAACUUCUGGCUUGCUUUCGAUACGGGCAGACUUGAGGCAUGCAGGGGAGAACGGAAUUCCUGGUGUAGCGGUGAAAUGCGCAGAUAUCGGGAGGAACACCAGUGGCGAAGGCGGCACUCUGGGCCAGUAUUGACGCUGAGGAGCGAAAGCGUGGGGAGCGAACAGG